rnacentral:rRNA from 1 species
UACAGAGGGUGCAAGCGUUAUUCGGAAUUACUGGGCGUAAAGAGCGCGUAGGCGGUUUGAUAAGUCUGAUGUGAAAGCCCUGGACUCAAUUCAGGAAGUGCAUUGGAUACUGUCAGGCUAGAGUACAGGAGAGGUGAGCGGAAUUCCUGGUGUAGAGGUGAAAUUCGUAGAUAUCAGGAGGAACAACAGAGGCGAAGGCGGCUCACUGGACUGUUACUGACGCUGAGGCGCGAAAGCGUGGGGAGCAAACAGG